GACGAACGCUGGCGGCGUGCUUAACACAUGCAAGUCGAACGGAAAGGCCCUGCUUUUGUGGGGUGCUCGAGUGGCGAACUGGUGAGUAACACGUGAGUAACCUGCCCUUGACUUUGGGAUAACUUCAUGAAACUGGGGCUAAUACCUGAUAGGAGCUCCUGCUGCAUGUUGGGGGUUGGAAAGUUUCGGCGGUUGGGGAUGGACUCGCGGCUUAUCAGCUUGUUGGUGGGGUAGUGGCUUACCAAGGCUUUGACGGGUAGCCGGCCUGAGAGGGUGACCGGCCACAUUGGGACUGAGAUACGGCCCAGACUCCUACGGGAGGCAGCAGUGGGGAAUAUUGCACAAUGGGCGGAAGCCUGAUGCAGCAACGCCGCGUGCGGGAUGACGGCCUUCGGGUUGUAAACCGCUUUCGCCUGUGACGAAGCGUGAGUGACGGUAAUGGGUAAAGAAGCACCGGCUAACUACGUG
rnacentral:rRNA from 1 species